rnacentral:rRNA from 1 species
AGUGAACGCUGGCGGUAGGCCUAACACAUGCAAGUCGAACGGCAGCACAGCAAGAGCUUGCUCUUACGGGUGGCGAGUGGCGGACGGGUGAGGAAUACAUCGGAAUCUACUUUUUCGUGGGGGACAACGUAGGGAAACUUACGCUAAUACCGCAUACGACCUACGGGUGAAAGCAGGGGAUCUUCGGACCUUGCGCGAUUGAAUGAGCCGAUGUCGGAUUAGCUAGUUGGCGGGGUAAAGGCCCACCAAGGCGACGAUCCGUAGCUGGUCUGAGAGGAUGAUCAGCCACACUGGAACUGAGACACGGUCCAGACUCCUACGGGAGGCAGCAGUGGGGAAUAUUGGACAAUGGGCGCAAGCCUGAUCCAGCCAUACCGCGUGGGUGAAGAAGGCCUUCGGGUUGUAAAGCCCUUUUGUUGGGAAAGAAAAGCAGCAGGUUAAUACCCCGCUGUUCUGACGGUACCCAAAGAAUAAGCACCGGCUAACUUCGUG